AUUGAACGCUGGCGGCAGGCCUAACACAUGCAAGUCGAGCGGUAGAGAGAAGCUUGCUUCUCUUGAGAGCGGCGGACGGGUGAGUAAUGCCUAGGAAUCUGCCUGGUAGUGGGGGAUAACGUUCGGAAACGGACGCUAAUACCGCAUACGUCCUACGGGAGAAAGCAGGGGACCUUCGGGCCUUGCGCUAUCAGAUGAGCCCAGGUCGGAUUAGCUAGUUGGUGGGGUAAUGGCUCACCAAGGCGACGAUCCGUAACUGGUCUGAGAGGAUGAUCAGUCACACUGGAACUGAGACACGGUCCAGACUCCUACGGGAGGCAGCAGUGGGGAAUAUUGGACAAUGGGCGAAAGCCUGAUCCAGCCAUGCCGCGUGUGUGAAGAAGGUCUUCGGAUUGUAAAGCACUUUAAGUUGGGAGGAAGGGCAGUUACCUAAUACGUAAUUGCUUUGACGUUACCGACAGAAUAAGCACCGGCUAA
rnacentral:rRNA from 1 species